AGUAGAUAGAAGAUGAUUACCGCUGACGCUGAUUGUUUGCUAUCGCCGCUGGUUGCUAUUGCUGCUGCCGAUGAUUGCUGUUGCCAUUGCUGCUGAUAUUGCUUCUCCUUAUAUUAGUACCUAUACCGUAGAUGAUAUUCAUUCCCAAAUAAAAAAUAUAGAAGAUCUGUAUGUUUUAAAAUUCUUGCAAAUUGAACGAACUACUUGUUAUCUCUUCUCUAAUCUUUCUCUUGAUCAGAUUCUCUUUUUUACUAUCCAUUGCAAAAUUUACUCAAUAAUAUGUACAAUGCGUACAAUAAUAAUCAUGAAACCAUCUAGCUCCUUAUUGAGUCCAUGGCCCCUUUUUCCAUGCAAUGGUUAGUAUUAUUUGUUCCACCUGUAUCUCAUCAUAUGAUUUUUUUCCCUUGCAAUUUUUGUGCUUGCAAGAUGUCAGCUAGCAGUCUAUCAGUAUCUAAACAAUGCAGUAACCAUGAUGUUGGUAUGAAACUGUCCUACAGCUUCAGGGGCAGAUGGAAAUGUAUAGCUUAUGACAUAAUCACAGAAAGUCGGGCAACCCAUUCGCUUACUUGAUAAAUCCUCCCCUGGUUCAGUCCACUAAGAUUCAUAUAGGUAUUGAUAUUCAGGUAUUCAAUGCAUGACAAAUGAUACAUGAUUAGGGAGCUGAAUUGUGACCAAAGAUCAAAUCCUCUUGGGCAUAUGAUAUUCUACAUUGGCAGGAAAGGCACAUGGGCAGUGUUUCUUAUAACUGGGUGAGAAUUUCAAUACAAGAUGAUUACUUGGAUCUUGGAGAACGUAUGAUGGUUCUUGGUACUUGGAGGAAAAACAAGACAAUUCUCUGAAUGUUUAGAAAUUUUAUAUUUUGUUUUAUUUUAUUUUUCGAAGGAAGUGAUGUACUCCUAAUUGAUGAUACUUCCAUUGUAAUGUAACAGAUUGUUCCAUUGAAUCAAUAUAUCAUUUUCAUUUCUA